CCAAGGUCGUAUGCCUGACAGAGGUGGUUACUGCAGAUGAGCUUAAAGAUGAUGAAGAGUAUGAAGAUAUUUUGGAAGAUAUGAGGGUAGAAGGUGGAAAAUUUGGUACAUUGAUGAAUAUUGUCAUCCCCCGUCCACAACCUAACGGUGAACCCUCUCUAGGACUUGGAAAGGCUUUCGUUGAGAACUACGACACUUCAUGUCUAAGCCAGUGCCUCUACGGUAUCA